rnacentral:pre_miRNA from 1 species
UGAGGUAGUAGGUUGUAUAGUUUUGGGGUGAAACCCUGCCUGUCAGAUAACUAUACAAUCUACUGUCUUUC